GUUCUCGUUUCAGCAGCACAUACACUAAAAUUGGAAUGAUACAGAGAUUAGCAUGGCCCCUGCACAAGGAUGACAUGCAAAUUCGGGAAGCGUUCCACAUUUAA